rnacentral:rRNA from 1 species
GUCGAGCGAGAAAAGGGGAGCAAUCCUCUGAGUACAGCGGCGCACGGGUGAGUAACACGUGGGUAAUCUGCCCUGGAGUGGGGAAUAACACCGGGAAACCGGUGCUAAUACCGCAUACGAUCGCGAUGUCUGCGGAUGUUGCGAUGAAAGGAGCAAUUCGCUCCAGGAGGAGCCCGCGGCUGAUUAGCUAGUUGGUGAGGUAAUGGCUCACCAAGGCUACGAUCAGUAUCCGGUCUGAGAGGACGGUCGGACACACUGGAACUGAGACACGGUCCAGACUCCUACGGGAGGCAGCAGUGGGGAAUUUUUGGCAAUGGGGGAAACCCUGACCAAGCAACGCCGCGUGGGUGAUGAAGUCCCUUGGGACGUAAAAUCCUUUCGACGGGGAAGAAACCGCAAGGUUGACGGUACCCGUAGAAGAAGCCCCGGCUAACUCCGUGCCAGCAGCCGCGGUAAUACGGGGGGGGCAAGCGUUGUUCGGAAUUACUGGGCGUAAAGGGUGCGUAGGCGGUUCGCUAAGUCGGAUGUGAAAACUCUGGGCUCAAGCCAGAGCCUGCAUCCGAAACUGGC